ACGGAGGGUCCAAGCGUUAUCCGGAUUCAUUGGGUUUAAAGGGUGCGCAGGCGGAACUUUAAGUCAGUGGUGAAAUCUUGCCGCUUAACGGUAAAAUUGCCAUUGAUACUGAAGUUCUUGAAUAUGGUUGAGGUAGGCGGAAUGUGUUGUGUAGCGGUGAAAUGCAUAGAUAUGACACAGAACGCCGAUUGCGAAGGCAGCUUACUAAGCCAUGAUUGACGCUGAGGCACGAAAGCGUGGGGAGCGAACAGG
rnacentral:rRNA from 1 species